CUAAUUUGAAUUUGAAAGAGCCAUCUUCGCCGCGCCGUUAAUUUGCACCGCACUUUUAUCGAGUGCUAGUGCGAUAAAGAAGGGUAAAGAAGGCCGUUUUAAUAAUAAUUCAACCACUGAAAUCACACGGACCAGAUUUGGACAAUGACUUGAAAGCUAAGACAUUCGCAGUAGGCUCUACAGGAGAGAGGGAGACCCAAAACCACCUGGAGUCAUACUGAGCCUCGAGGAGGAGAUGAAGUCAGUGAACAUGACCUGGGGUACCGGUAGUUUCCAGAAGAAGGCCCAGCUCAGAACCGCCAGGACUCAGGAGUGGAGAUCCGAAUACUUCGUUGCUGCCCUCCAUAUGAGGAGGCUGUAAGUUAGAUACAUCGCAUCUACCAGCAAAGAACGUGUGCCAGUACAGGGAAGGAAUGUACCUGUCGCACGUGAACUCUUCAGAGGCAGUGAGGACAACAAGAUCUGCAAGCAAGUGAUCCUUUUUAUACAUCGCAUCUACCAGCAAAGAAUGUGUGCCAGUAGAGGAAAGGAAUGUACCUGUCGCACGUGAACUCUUCAGAGGCAGUGAGGACAAGAUCUGCAAGCAAGUGAUCCUUUUUAUACAUCGCAUCUACCAGCAAAGAUCAAGUGCCACUACAGGAAAGGAAGGUACCUGUUUCACGUUUCCUCUUCAGAGCCAGUGAGGGCCCCAAGAUCUCAAUAAAUAAUAAUUAAAAAAAGACUCCUUUAUCAUUCCUUUAAAAAUAGUACAUAUUAUUUAUUGAAGGUAAAUGCUUAGAUGCAUUAUAUUCAAAUUUUGUCUCCAAGCUAGCAUGUAAAAAUUGGAUUGACUACAUAUUUACUGUGUAAGUUAAUGAUCUUUGCUGACACAUAAUACAAGAAUUAUACGCAGCAUGUUACAGUUUGUAACAUAAUUUUCUUUCAUUAAAUUCCUAGUUUAAAUACCAUAUAGAUGUUUUUUGUGACUUUUGUCAUUCUCUGAUGUUUUUUGGUACAGAUUUCAAGAGACUGAGGGAUUGAUUUACCAGAGCAAGUUUACAGUCCAAUCCUGUUAUAUUGUGCAUGUGGAAAUUAACAAGGUUUCAAUACAAUGCUACAAAUUUACCGUGAUUCAUUUCAUCAGUCCUAUGUGCAAGGAUAAUUAUUUCACUUGUCCAUGCACAUUGUUAUAACAGGAGUGGACAUUCAAUGUAAAGAUAAUUGAAGAUAGUUUAUAAUUGAAAUAACCGCCU